rnacentral:lncRNA from 1 species
UGCUAUCUUCGAUCUGUUCCCUAUAAAUACAGGGAUGCCAAAUCUGCUAUUUUCAACUUGUUCCCUAUAAGCACAGGGAUGCCAUGCUGAAAUCUUUGAUCUGCUUUACUGUAAGCACAGGAAUGUUAGAUUUGCUAUCUUCGAUCUGUUCACAGAGAUGCCAAAUCUUUUAUUUUCAACUUGUUCCCUAUAAGGACAGGAAUGCCA